rnacentral:rRNA from 1 species
GUUUCGAAUUUUUCGCAAUGGGCGAAAGCCUGACGGAGCGACGCCGCGUGGGGGAUGAAGGUCUUCGGAUUGUAAACCCCUGUCAGCUGGGAACAACGCCUCGGCGCUAACACCGCUGAGGUUUGAUAGUACCGGCAGAGGAAGCCGUGGCUAACUCUGUGCCAGCAGCCGCGGUAAUACAGAGACGGCAAGCGUUGUUCGGAUUUAUUGGGCGUAAAGGGUCCGCAGGUGGCGAGGUAAGUCUGACGUGAAAUCCCGCGGCUCAACCGCGGAACUGCGUCGGAUACUGCUUCGCUGGAGGUUGGUAGAGGAGUCUGGAAUUCACGGUGUAGCAGUGAAAUGCGUAGAUAUCGUGAGGAACACCGGUGGCGAAGGCGAGACUCUGGGCCAUACCUGACACUCAUGGACGAAAGCGUGGGGAGCAAACGGGAUUAGAAACCCGGGUAGUCC